CGGGUGAGUAACGCGUGAGGAACCUGCCUCAAAGAGGGGGACAACAGUUGGAAACGACUGCUAAUACCGCAUAAGCCCACAGCUCGGCAUCGAGCAGAGGGAAAAGGAGCAAUCCGCUUUGAGAUGGCCUCGCGUCCGAUUAGCUAGUUGGUGAGGUAACGGCCCGCCAAGGCGACGAUCGGUAGCCGGACUGAGAGGUUGAACGGCCACAUUGGGACUGAGACACGGCCCAG
rnacentral:rRNA from 1 species